rnacentral:rRNA from 1 species
CAGCCGCCGCGGGAAUACGGAGGGGGCUAGCGUUGUUCGGAAUUACUGGGCGUAAAGCGCACGUAGGCGGCGAUCUAAGUCAGGGGUGAAAGCCCGGGGCUCAACCCCGGAAUAGCCUUUGAGACUGGAUUGCUAGAAUCUGGGAGAGGUGAGUGGAAUUCCGAGUGUAGAGGUGAAAUUCGUAGAUAUUCGGAAGAACACCAGUGGCGAAGGCGGCUCACUGGACCAGUAUUGACGCUGAGGUGCGAAAGCGUGGGGAGCAAACAGGAUUAGAUACCCCAGUAGUCCCUGUCUCUUAUAC